rnacentral:hammerhead_ribozyme from 1 species
ACCUAUCUGAUGAGUCCAAAAUAGGACGAAACAUGUGUCUUGAAU